UUAGGGACCAAUUAGUACUACUUUUUAUAUCAUUUUAUUGGUCCCUUUUACCAAGUUUUGAUGUAAUUACACACUUUUUAUUCUUAUUAAUUCGUAUAAAUUCAAUUACGUUUAAUUUAUUUUGUUUUGAAUAGUUAUUUCACCUUUUUGUUAGUUUUGUAGAAUUUUGGGAUAAGAAAGGCCUUGGAUUGCAACACCACAUCUUGGAGGAAGCUUGCCAAACAAGGAAGCUGGAGAAGCAACAGCUCGCGCCGCGAACUGCCUUCGCGCCGCGAAGGCUGCG
rnacentral:lncRNA from 1 species